rnacentral:rRNA from 1 species
AGAUUAAGUUAUUAAGGGCGCACGGUGGAUGCCUUGGCACUAGAAGCCGAUGAAGGACGUUACUAACGACGAUAUGCUUUGGGUAGCUGUAAGUAAGCGUUGAUCCAGAGAUUUCCGAAUGGGGGAACCCAACACGAGUUAUGUCGUGUUAUCGACAAGUGAAUUCAUAGCUUGUCAGAAGGCAGACCCGGAGAACUGAAACAUCUUAGUACCCGGAGGAAGAGAAAGAAAAUUCGAUUCCCUGAGUAGCGGCGAGCGAAACGGGAAGAGCCCAAACCAAUAAGCUUGCUUAUUGGGGUUGUAGGACACUCUAUACGGAGUUACAAAGGAAUAUGUUAGACGAAUCAUCUGGAAAGUUGAAUCAAAGAAGGUAAUAAUCCUGUAGUUGAAAACGUAUUCUCUCUUGAGUGGAUCCUGAGUACGACGGAGCACGUGAAAUUCCGUCGGAAUCUGGGAGGACCAUCUCCUAAGGCUAAAUACUCUCUAGUGACCGAUAGUGAACCAGUACCGUGAGGGAAAGGUGAAAAGUACCCCGGAAGGGGAGUGAAAGAGAACUUGAAACCGUGUGCUUACAAGUAGUCAGAGCCCGUUAAUGGGUGAUGGCGUGCCUUUUGUAGAAUGAACCGGCGAGUUACGAUCUGAUGCAAGGUUAAGCAGGAAAUGUGGAGCCGUAGCGAAAGCGAGUCUGAAUAGGGCGUUCAGUAUUUGGUCGUAGACCCGAAACCAGGUGAUCUACCCAUGGUCAGGUUGAAGUUCAGGUAACACUGAAUGGAGGACCGAACCGACUUACGUUGAAAAGUGAGCGGAUGAACUGUGGGUAGCGGAGAAAUUCCAAUCGAACUUGGAGAUAGCUGGUUCUCUCCGAAAUAGCUUUAGGGCUAGCCUCAAGUGAUGAUUAUUGGAGGUAGAGCACUGUUUGGACGAGGGGCCCCUCUCGGGUUACCGAAUUCAGACAAACUCCGAAUGCCAAUUAAUUUAACUUGGGAGUCAGAACAUGGGUGAUAAGGUCCGUGUUCGAAAGGGAAACAGCCCAGACCACCAGCUAAGGUCCCAAAAUAUAUGUUAAGUGGAAAAGGAUGUGGCGUUGCCCAGACAACUAGGAUGUUGGCUUAGAAGCAGCCAUCAUUUAAAGAGUGCGUAAUAGCUCACUAGUCGAGUGACACUGCGCCGAAAAUGUACCGGGGCUAAACAUAUUACCGAAGCUGUGGAUUGUCCUUUGGACAAUGGUAGGAGAGCGUUCUAAGGGCGUUGAAGCAUGAUCGCAAGGACAUGUGGAGCGCUUAGAAGUGAGAAUGCCGGUGUGAGUAGCGAAAGACGGGUGAGAAUCCCGUCCACCGAUUGACUAAGGUUUCCAGAGGAAGGCUCGUCCGCUCUGGGUUAGUCGGGUCCUAAGCUGAGGCCGACAGGCGUAGGCGAUGGAUAACAGGUUGAUAUUCCUGUACCACCUAACAUCGUUUUAAUCGAUGGGGGGACGCAGUAGGAUAGGCGAAGCGUGCUGUUGGAGUGCACGUCCAAGCAGUGAGAUUGAGUGUUAGGCAAAUCCGGCACUCUUAAGAUUGAGCUGUGAUGGGGAGAGGAAAUUGUUUCCUCGAGUCGUUGAUUUCACACUGCCGAGAAAAGCCUCUAGAUAGAUAAUAGGUGCCCGUACCGCAAACCGACACAGGUAGUCAAGAUGAGAAUUCUAAGGUGAGCGAGCGAACUCUCGUUAAGGAACUCGGCAAAAUGACCCCGUAACUUCGGGAGAAGGGGUGCUCUUUAGGGUGCAAGCCCAGAAGAGCCGCAGUGAAUAGGCCCAAGCGACUGUUUAUCAAAAACACAGGUCUCUGCUAAACCGUAAGGUGAUGUAUAGGGGCUGACGCCUGCCCGGUGCUGGAAGGUUAAGAGGAGUGGUUAGCUUCUGCGAAGCUACGAAUCGAAGCCCCAGUAAACGGCGGCCGUAACUAUAACGGUCCUAAGGUAGCGAAAUUCCUUGUCGGGUAAGUUCCGACCCGCACGAAAGGCGUAACGAUUUGGGCACUGUCUCAACGAGAGACUCGGUGAAAUCAUAGUACCUGUGAAGAUGCAGGUUACCCGCGACAGGACGGAAAGACCCCGUGGAGCUUUACUGUAGCCUGAUAUUGAAAUUCGGCACAGCUUGUACAGGAUAGGUAGGAGCCUUUGAAGCGUGAGCGCUAGCUUACGUGGAGGCGUUGGUGGGAUACUACCCUAGCUGUGUUGGCUUUCUAACCCGCACCACUUAUCGUGGUGGGAGACAGUGUCAGGCGGGCAGUUUGACUGGGGCGGUCGCCUCCUAAAAGGUAACGGAGGCGCUCAAAGGUUCCCUCAGAAUGGUUGGAAAUCAUUCAUAGAGUGUAAAGGCAUAAGGGAGCUUGACUGCGAGACCUACAAGUCGAGCAGGGUCGAAAGACGGACUUAGUGAUCCGGUGGUUCCGCAUGGAAGGGCCAUCGCUCAACGGAUAAAAGCUACCCCGGGGAUAACAGGCUUAUCUCCCCCAAGAGUUCACAUCGACGGGGAGGUUUGGCACCUCGAUGUCGGCUCAUCGCAUCCUGGGGCUGUAGUCGGUCCCAAGGGUUGGGCUGUUCGCCCAUUAAAGCGGUACGCGAGCUGGGUUCAGAACGUCGUGAGACAGUUCGGUCCCUAUCCGUCGUGGGCGUAGGAAAUUUGAGAGGAGCUGUCCUUAGUACGAGAGGACCGGGAUGGACAUACCUCUGGUGUACCAGUUGUCGUGCCAACGGCAUAGCUGGGUAGCUAUGUAUGGACGGGAUAAGUGCUGAAAGCAUCUAAGCAUGAAGCCCCCCUCAAGAUGAGAUUUCCCAACUUCGGUUAUAAGAUCCCUCAAAGAUGAUGAGGUUAAUAGGUUCGAGGUGGAAGCGUGGCGACACGUGGAGCUGACGAAUACUAAUCGAUCGAAGACUUAAUCAAUUU